rnacentral:rRNA from 1 species
GACGGAGGAUGCAAGUGUUAUCCGGAAUCACUGGGCGUAAAGCGUCUGUAGGUGGUUUAAAAAGUCUACUGUUAAAAAUUGAAGCUUAACUUCAAAGAUGCCGUAGAAACUUUCAAACUAGAGUAUGGUAGGGGUAGAGGGAAUUUCCAGUGGAGCGGUGAAAUGCGUAGAGAUCGGAAAAGAACACCAACGGCGAAAGCACUCUGACUGGGCCGACACUGACACUGAGAGACGAAAGCUAGGGGAGCGAAUGGG